AGGGCACCACCAGGAGUGGAGCCUGCGGCUUAAUUUGACUCAACACGGGAAAACUCACCCGGCCCGGACACCGUGAGGAUUGACAGAUUGAGAGCUCUUUCUUGAUUCGGUGGUUGGUGGUGCAUGGCCGUUCUUAGUUGGUGGAGCGAUUUGUCUGGUUUAUUCCGAUAACGAACGAGACUCUAGCCUACUAAAUAGUGACUGGAUUGUUUCUGUCCAGGACACUUCUUAGAGGGACAAGUGGUGUUCAGCCACACGAAAUUGAGCAAUAACAGGUCCGUGAUGCCCUUAGAUGUCCGGGGCUGCACGCGCGCUACACUGGAGGAAUCAGCGUGCUAUACCAUUGCCGAAAGGCAUUGGUAAACCCGUCAAAAUCCUCCGUGAUCGGGAUCGGGAAUUGCAAUUAUUUCCCUUGAACGAGGAAUUCCCAGUAAGUGUGGGUCAUCAGCUCACGCUGAUUACGUCCCUGCCCUUUGUACACACCGCCCGUCGCUGCCCGGGACUGAGCCAUUUCGAGAA
rnacentral:rRNA from 1 species